AGGGCUAUGUCCCUGUCAUUGUCCACCCGCAGCCCCGGCGCCCUCUCUUUCCCUUCCUCCUAUUCGCCUGCUGGAAGGAUGGCUGCAAAGCCCCCAGGUGGGGGUGGGCCUGCCUUCUAUUCCAGCCAGAGCAGCAGCAACCUGUCUUUUCCUUUCCCUACAGGAAGCUGCACAGUGGGAUGAAGACGUACGGGUGUGAGCUCUGCGGAAAGCGGUUCCUGGAUAGUUUGCGACUGAGAAUGCACUUACUGGCUCAUUCAGGUAGGCAAGGAUACCCUGACCGGCCCUUCCAAGCACAGGCAACUACCCCCUGCCCACCUUUGCGCCCACUCAGAGCAUGGCUAUUCCCACAGCCCACCGGGCCUUGGUCUACCUGGUCCCGUGGGUGCUCCCUGCAGGCUCCUGGAGCAGAGUCCAUCCUGACCCAUCCUCCUGCUCUGCUGGGCUUCCUGGGACAUUGUCAGUACCCAGUGCCCCGUGUGAUCCACCUUCCGAAGUAGACUGCAGUUUCAUUAGCAGAACAGUUGUGGAAUUAGGUUCUCACUGUCUAAUGAAUCUGACUAUUGGGUUCACAUUAUACAGGAGCCUUUAAUUAAAUAGAUAUAGAAAGGUUGGAAUACAAAGCUAGUUACAGCAUGCUCUCUUUUGCAAGUUAAUUUUAUCCAAUUUUAGCAGGGUUGACUCUGCGGCUGCUGGUGAUUUUGCUCCAAUUCGGGCAAAGCUUCUCUGCCCCCGCGAGGCGUGGAGAGGGGAGAGGGCACUGACCUGCAGCAUGGCAGGUGUUCUUGGUGGAGGGAGGGAUUCAGCAGGUCCAGGGCUGCUGCUUCGAGGCCAAGGGGGUCACCUGGGUUCGGUGGGAGAGGCCUCCACACUUCCCUGCCAGGGCCAGGGCUCUUUUCCCUCUGAUUCCCUUGCCUUUCGAUCUUGGGGUCACAUUUUGGGAGAGAAGAGAGAGAGCUGUCUUUUCACUUGGUCUUGCUCUUUCCCAUCUAGCCCACUGCCAAUGUCUGCUCUUCUUUCCCUCGUCGGCCCUCCAGGCGGUUGGCGGUUCGGAGUUGGUAAAUGAGCCUAGGCUUUGGGGUUGGGCAGGUGAAGGUUCACAUCAUAUCUGUGACAUGUGCUGGAUGACCUCAGGCAGAUUUGUCCCCUAACCCCCCGUUUCUGCAUCUGUAAAGGGCGGAUGUUGCUAACUCAUAUCAAGUAGUUAAGAGAAUGUAUGAUAAAGGCAGCUACAGCACGCUCUCUGCCACACAGUCAGUGUUUAAUACAUGACCAUACAGUUGGUGUUUAAUAAAUGUCCGUUGCUUCUGCUUCCACCUUCCUCCCUUUUCCCCAGUCCUAAGUUGUUGUUCUGGAGUGUUGCCAUCACCGUACACCUGUUGAGGACAGUCUGGCCUCCAGCACGGAGAUGCCACUGGGGAGCUUCGUAUGCUUCUGCGAGCCCCUGUCUCGCUGCCCAGCCCCUGGGCUCUCUGCACUGUGUGGGGUGCCACUUUCCCAGGCUUUCACAGCCCUGUGUAAGGUGCCCUGACUCCUCACGUCCCACUCUUCCCUCUUCCAGAUCCAGGGAUGGGGCCACACCAGGCAGCUGUCUCUUGUAUCCCCAUGUCUUUAUGUUCCAUUCCUCCUUCCUAUGGGGCCUCCCCAUACCCACCCCUGGCUCUAUGGAAUUAUCCUGAUCCCUGAACCUGCCCCACAUGGGCACACAGUCCAGGUGUCCCUGUGUUUGGCAUCUGCUUGGUACCCGUACGCUCAUUUUAUUUUUAUAACUCACACCUCUGGUCUUCUUGCUCCCCUUCAUCUUUGUAGGUUUCGGGGGUGGGGGGUGGAGGUGUCAUGAGCUGUCUGCCAACCGGUUGGUGGCCCUCCCCAAACGCAGAGUGCGGCCUCCCAUUUCAUUUGCUCUCUGCUCCAGGCCCCUGUGUGGUCUCGAACCACGGGGUGUUGGACAUUGCAUGUUGGUAGAAGAGCUUGUGGUUACGCUCCCUCGCCCUCGCUGUAACUCAGCCCGGGAAGCUUGCUUUCUCCUUACAGUUUCCUUGCGUCUAGGGUGCUUGCCAGAUGGGUGCGCUAUCACUUUGCUCCGGGUGCCGACCAGCACAGCUGGCUUUCUGCUCUGUGUGGAAUGACCCCUUUCCCUCCACGUGGAGUAACCUUCCCCAGUCUCCCCACAUCCUCCAGGGUCCUUCCCACCGGAAGCAAUCGUGCCUUCUUUGGGGUCCGUAUCUCUUUAGCUGAAGCUGUCUUUGGGCACAAUCUUACUUCUCUUGACUUAACCUCCCCCUACUUGGGAGUCAGGAUUAGGAAUUUGGGCGUCUCCGUCCUGACCAGGUGACCUUGGACAAGAAACAGAAGCCCUCUGAGCCUGAACGCAAGGCCCCCCAUUAGACACUCAGCACUUAGCCGAACACACAAUAGGCUCUCAGAAAUGUAACUUCCCUUUUCCUCUGUUCCCCUGAUAGACUGGAUAAGCUACUUGGGGACCUGAUCUGUUCCCGUGUGUGGAGCAUGUACGUGGCACAUUACCGGAGUCUUGUAGAUACUGGUUGAAUGGAUGACUACAGCCUGGGAGGUCGGGCACCUCAAGGGAAUGCCAUGCUCCAUCCGGGUCUCUCCUGCAGUAGGAAGCAUCUCAGGGCUUCACUGGAGGGCCGCUAGGAGCCCACUGGCCCGAAUGUGCUGUGCUGCCCUAGCCAGGGCUCCGUCAGGAAGCGCACCCCAGCAGUGUCUGUAAGGCGGGCGGGGGCAGCACUGAGGGGAAGAGCUGCUUACACACAUUCGGGUGGGCCCGAGCCCCCCCUUCAGAGAAGAGGAAGGCCUUUGUGUCAGCCCCCGAGAUGCCGCCACUUCAGGGUCCUGUGGUCUCAUACGCAUACCCUAGCAACUUUGGGCCUCUUUUCCUCUGCAGUCUGUGCAAACGGUUCAUCCCUCUGACUUUCACUUGCCGCUGCCCUUGUUAAAGAGGAUUCGGUGAUGGGGAAGGUGUGAUGGGUCUUCACAACAGGGCCUUCAUUCCCCCUGCAGAUAACUCUUAACCUGCUUCAACGCUGUUUUUUCUGGACCCGCUUACCACUCCCCUCCCCAAGCCCUGUGCCAAGAUGGCUUGAAAAUAAAACAGCAGCAAGGGCUUCGUGAGGCUAGAGCACACCCCGAAUUGUUUUUUGCCCUUGCUGUUAAACAGCAGAGGCCCCAGGCCUCCAGAGAAACCUGGCUGUGUCAGGGAGGUGGAGUUGGGGGGCUGGGCCAGCAGUGCCAGCUUUUUUCCUGGAUUCCAGUAGCAGAAGUUGGGUUUUACCCAGUCCAGUUCCUCCCCGAGUCUCACAAUAACAGAACUAUGUGAGGUUUGAGAGGAGACGUUUAAUUAGAUGACCAAGGUUUUCUUGGUGCUGAAGGCUCCGUGCAGGGAGCCGACAGCAAGGCUGGCCCCUAAGGGCCUGUGGUGUGGACCCAGCUUAAGGGAGAUCAGCAGGGCAGAGCAUCACAGAACAACAGUGGUUCCAGAGCCUGGGACCAUGUUUUGAGAGGGGGCAGGCCGUGGAGAAGGGAGUCUGGGCUCCGGAUCGGGGUCAGGAUGCUCCUGGCUUCCCCUCCAUGUGGUUGCUGCCCUGGAAAGGCUCGCUCCUGCUGGUUCUCCUUCUCAGCGGAGCUGCACGGCGCUCACUUCCUCGCGGGCUCUGCGUGCUCGGCGCCCCACCCCCUCUUGGCGAGCGUGGCCCGUGUUUGUUAUUGUAGUUCUGGCGCUGGGCCAGGCCUGGCUGGGCGCCAGCCUUGUGGGUACAGUGUGUACAGUGAGUGCCGAGCCAAGUUUGUCAUCAUACACGAUUAAUUUUUUUUUUUUUCUCAUCUGGUAGGGGUGGGGUGAAGGAGGAGGCAAGACGGAGUUUCUCGGAUGCUUGAGAACAGGCCUGGUUGAAUUCUGCGGAGAUAAUAUUUCCUUCCCAGCUUUCCUUUCUCUCGAAUCAUCUCCCUCCUCUCCUCCACGUUUUCCUAUCCAGGGAAAUCGGCCUGUGUGAGAUCGACACUGUGAGGUCUUAUUUUCAGUGACUGGAAUACCAAAUUUACACUCCUAAAUCAGUUUUCAUUGUGUUGAAAUUGACAAUUUGUUUAAUUAGAAGUUUGCCCUGUAGGAGGCCCUUCUCAGAGACAGUUCUUUCUUUCUCUUUCUCUUUUUUUGCUUUUUUUAAGACCCUGCGUGGUAGAAGUGAACGUUCGGUUUCAAUGAAGUUUUGAUUUCGAUUUGAAUGCCUUCACUAAUCAAGUGUUUAUGAGAUAUACCCGAUGAUCACAAUACGUUGAAAUUAACAAACAAUCACCCCACUCACUAACUAAUGAGAUUGAUCUGGCCGGACCCUGCAUUCUCAGAGGUGGUUUGGGGAUCAAGAGGUUUGGGGCCUUGGCAGAGGGGCUUGGGGUGGGAAGAGUGACCUAUGGGGUUCUCCACAAAGCUGCUCUUUCUGGGAGGGGUUGUGAAUUUGAGGAGGGGGUGCAAGGAGCCGGGGAAGAGACCCAGCCCCUCGUCAUCCCCAGAUCACUCUGCAAUCUCCUACCCAUCGUUUGCUGCUGCCGUAUCCCUUGUGGGAGCAUCCGUGAGCUGCUAUCUCGUGCCCACUCCUUGUUCUCACUUAGGAGAACGUCCUAACCCUGGGAGGUCCAUGCAGAAACCGCACACCUGGGGGAUGAGUUGAGUGGGUUCUGCGAUUUGCCCGGGUCAGGUUUCCCAUUAGGUAGUGUUUCCCACAGCUUGGCCUAACGUCCUGGUGGAUGCUAAGAGAGCACACCCUGUUUUUGCCUUGGCCACAUGCUAUUUAGAGGCUUGCAGAGUUCUGUGGCCAGCUUCUAUUCUGGGAGCAUCAUCCGUCAGGCUCCGUGUGCUUCUUACUGGAGAACAGGCAUCACCCCUGCCCUCCAGGCGCUUACGUCUCAUUGGAGAGAUGUUUGACCGUGAAGUUGGGAUAAAAGAAGGUGGUGUGUGCUGAGUGCCCAGAGUUCUAGAAGGGAUUCGGAGGAGGAAGGGGGCUCCUUGGAGAGGAGUGAAAUUCUGAGAGGACCCCCACCCCCUCCCGCCCCCCUGGGUUACGGGGUCUCUGUGCAGUGAAGCUGGGGAGUGUAGGCUGGGUGUGGGGGAGGAGACAGGGUUUACAGGGGGGGCUGGGGCAAGAUUGCAAGGGCUUUGAAUUGCAAAAUGAUUUGCAUUUGACCUAUAGCGAUUAAAAGCCACAGAGAGAUUGGCUGGGGAAGGGGCACCAGUUCCCUCUGGAACAGAAGGGAUGCUUGGGCUGGGCUGGAGCAGAGAGUUUAUAAGGCCCUUGGAGAAAUGGCGUGAGUGUCCAGGGGCAGGGCUGGAGGGUGGCGUGCCCUGUGCAUAUUGCACUGGUUGGGGGCACGCAGCCUUUCUUUGGGGUCUCCUCCUACACACUCACUCCUCUUCAUCCUUCUCAGGGCACUCUGAGCCAUGGCCAUUGAGAAACCCCCCCAGUACCAGACUCUUCCCCAUAGUCAGAGCCACCACGAAAGGACAUGGUCCUCAGGUGACAGAUUUUCUGAUUCCAGCAGCAGCAUGGUGUGGUCAGGGCAUAGCAUUGGGGGUCGGGUCACCGUCUGGCAGGGAAAAGGGCAGGAGGGGUUGGGGCCAGAAACCAGAUUGGUUCUCUUAUGCUUUCCCCUGUCCUGAUCAGACGGAAGGGGAAAAAAAGAGAGAGAGAGAGAGAGAGAUGUCAAAGCUCUGUGGAUUGCAUUUGUUCCCUUUGUUUUUUUUUUCUUUGGGGAACCCUAAGCUUUGGGGUUCAGGGUCCUUCUUCUCAAAGGCAGAGAGUGUGAGAGGAGCAAGGUAGCUGGAUGGUGCCCUGUGAGUGCGAGGCGAGGUGAGGGUCUCCACGCCCCACAGAGGCAUCGUAGGAUGCAAAGACGGUUUCUCGGGACCUGCAGCUUCCUCCUCUCGUUCCCUGCUCUCUUAUCUGCUGAGAGCAGAAGACUGGGGUUAUCCGGGCAGCUCUGAACCCAGGGUCCACUCCAUUUACUCCGUCUCGGCUCACUCCCUCCUUCUGGUUGGCUUUCUGCCCUCAGGGUAAAACCAAGAGAUACCCAAGAAGGAAACUUCCCAGGUCUCCUCCGUCUCCCUCAGCAUCCCUGCCGAGGGGUGUUGUUUACAGCAAGUGACAGGUCCUGUGAUGGUGUUGGGUGCCAUGCUGGCUCCAGGGCCAUUAAAGUUCCCCCAUCUCUGCACCUCAGUUCGGCUGGAUGUGUGUGUGCCUGGGUCCCCCAGCCCUGAAGAUGUCACAUCAGACCCGCCGAAGAGAGAAAGUUCAGAGAGUUCAUUGCAGGUCAUUGUAUUAAACAGUGUUUUCACUGCUUCUCUCCCACCCCUUCACCUCCAUACAGCCCCCUGUGUGAAAAGGGGGUUCACGGAGUCCUCCCCCGAACACACACAUGUCUCUCCCUCCAUAUGGUGCCUUAGCAGGGGUUUGGGAAGCUCGUGUAUCUGCCCCUCUGGAGCCCAGCCUCUCCCCCUACCCUCCCGUCCCCCAUCCCAAUUUAUUCUAUAAAUUCGUUUCCACAUUAUGUC
rnacentral:lncRNA from 1 species